rnacentral:sRNA from 1 species
UCGACCUGCAAAAAGUGUAAAUUUUGUGUAAUUUUGUGUCCCGAAUGUGGGAAAACCCCUUUUGUGGCCCGAUUCCCACCACCUGCCUGUGCCACCGGCCAUCCCAUCUCUUUAUCAGCAUUCAACCAGCCAGCAUCGUCCUCGCCGGUCGAACAAAACCAGAAAACCGCGGCGAGCUUUUCAUUUCAAUUUGCUGCCAAAAAUGCCCACAGAUGUGGCAGUCGCGGAGGCGGAGGCGGAGGAGGGGCCAGGCAGCCGUUUGGUCGCUCGUUGGCCAAUUUAGUUUUAACGUUGCAGAUGCGGCUGGUGCUGGGUCUGGUGCUCCUUCUGUUAUCAUUCAAUUGGCGCCGCCCUCUGCUGCAAUUUUGAAUGCCAAGUGCAGGCAGUGGAGGUGGGAGCGUGAGGCGGCGGCACGUGAUCGUGGUCGAUAGGGAUUGAGGGACCACGGAGCGCUGGGAGUUAUCGGCCCUGCCAUCCCUCUGGGAGUAUGAUUCCCCGCCUGUGAUCUCUUCAAAAUCCGAUCGCUAGCGAUAGCUGGAAAUACCCAAAGCUGAUGCUGAAAUCAAUCUGGUCCGAAAAGAAGGAAGGAAGGAAUUCCCUAAGGAAAACAAAGGCAAAGGCUUAUAGGAAGGAUAGAAGGACACUCCAUAUCUUUCUGUGAGACUUCGGUUUCCCCCUGUAAUUGCUGCCAUCUCUAUGCCCUUCGAGUGCAUUCGAGUUCCGGAUUCCGUCAUGGGUUUAAUUGGGCGAGUGCAAUCCUCCCUACUUUCGAGACAGCCACUUGGCUUGGCCUUUGGGCUCCCCCUCACCAAAUUAGCUUGACUAACCCCUGGACAAGCAGAUGUUGACUCCCUCCCCCUCCCCUGGGACAUAUUGUCACCUCAAACACAGCAGACGAGGGCGAUGGCGAUGGCGAUGGCUGUUGACAACGACAACAGCCCGUUGGGCAUUCGUUCCGUUCCGUUCUGUCCGGGCGUCAAGUGCAUGACUAUCUGAUUGCAUUCUGUGUGAAUAGUGGAUGGAAAAGCGUUUAAAAACAUUAAACUGCGUCCGGUUACGUGCCUGGAAUUUCGAGAUCCAACAGAAAGGACCAGAAGGAGGGGUAUCCUAUCAGCUGAAUGGCCUAAUCCUAACAAAGGAGGAGGAAGAGGAGUAGGCCACAUCGCUUAUGAGUCAGCGUUUUAAAUUGCUUUCGUUGGAGCCCUGCUCCACGCCGCGAGCCAUUUCCCAUGUUGCUCAAAAGUCUGGAAAGUAAUUCUAUUAAAAACAACAAAAAUAAUGCAAGAAAAUAACUACGCUCCCGACUAAAAGAACUAACUACAUCAGCGGCCACGACGAUGGGGGGCAGUGAGGAGGGGAGAGUAGGGGCCCGGAACGUGAGCUCGAUAACAUUUUAGCUGGAUAAACAAAUUUCUUUGGCGAGUGAGCAAGAGCAAAGCAAAUAUGAAAUUCCAUUAAUUUGAUGGAUGCUUCAGGCAGAACCAAGAACCGGCAACCGGAAACCGGUAUGGAAAUAUGUGAUAGGACUUCGGCUUCGAGUACAACAUGCACCACGGGACGUAUGAUUAAUGCAAUGUCUGCCGCACUGACUGGCCGUCAAGUCAGUGUCGAGAGGACAACAAUGAAUUAAUUAAUGAAGUGCACACUACCAGGCAACCAACAGCAGUCCCAGAGCAAUGUAUUUACAUAUGUAUAUCCCCAGUAACUAUAGUUUUUAUGGUCUUUCUUCAGGCUGUCAAGAUUUCUGUGCCUCUUGAUGGAUGGUGGCUGCAGCCACAACAGGUGUCUGCCUCUGCUAUCAUUGCCGAACAGGAUACAGCCAUCAAGGAUACAGGUUUGAUAGGUUUUCCUACAACCCGGAGGUGUAUCUUGGCAAUCAUUUGGCACUAAUGACAUUGCUGUGAUGGCUAUAUCGUACGAAUGGAUGCUUUGUUUAAGAAACAAUUAUCGAAGAAGACAGAGCGUGAUAAUUGGAACCCAACAUAAGGAAGGAACGACGAACUUCGCAGUGUUGUGUCCAUCGAUUUGGCUGAGAAAACACCCGAAAGUGGAGCUGGGCCCGCAUGGAACACCGGAAAUGAUCUCCCAUCAAACGUGUCCAUUGUAGAGCCAUUGAACUAUCACUCAGGAAAAGAUAUGUGACGCCGCAAUGGGCAGAGCACCGGGAAAUGGAGGCUAAAAAGGAGGCUUCUCCUAUUCCAACACAUAGAAGACGCCCCUUUAAGUCCAGAAAUCUUUCAAAUUUAAGUCUUUAAACAAUUAAUUCCACACAAAACUCGUUACGCAUUCCAUAAUGUCCAUGAAAUUCCAUAAUCCAUUCAGCCGUUGGCCACCAUUGCAUCUGGCGGAUAAAAACUUACUUCGCGACGUCUGGAACUAUGUGGAAGGCCUUGCCCCCCCGCUCCUCCCUCUUCCUUCCGUUCCAAGUGGCAAAAAGUGUCUGCAACAUAAUCUCUCUGUUUGGGCAGGGGGCAAAAGCGAUUUCCAAGUCAUUGGGCAAGCCCAACUAUGCCAUAUAAUCGCAUGAUAUAUGCCUAAUCUCUGCUGGAAACUUCUCUCUGCAAGUGGCAGAAGGGCAAUGUGCAGGUCCGCGCUGGAGGAGAGUCAAUUUCAGCGAUUAAAUUAAGAAUGCAUAACUUGCAGGCUUAACAGGGCUUCGGGGAGCGGCGGGGGAAUGUGGAGGAGGAGCAGAAGGACUCCUGCAGCCAGAGCACGAACGGGGGCUCUGAUUUUUAUUUGCCAUUCUCUUGGCCUCAGUUUCUCUUU